rnacentral:rRNA from 1 species
AUUGAACGCUGGCGGCAUGCUUUACACAUGCAAGUCGAACGGUAACAGGCCGCAAGGUGCUGACGAGUGGCGAACGGGUGAGUAAUGCAUCGGAACGUGCCCAGUCGUGGGGGAUAACGCAGCGAAAGCUGCGCUAAUACCGCAUACGAUCUAUGGAUGAAAGCGGGGGACCGUAAGGCCUCGCGCGAUUGGAGCGGCCGAUGUCAGAGUAGGUAGUUGGUGGGGUAAAGGCUCACCAAGCCAACGAUCUGUAGCUGGUCUGAGAGGACGACCAGCCACACUGGGACUUAGACACGGCCCAGACUCCUACGGGAGGCAGCAGUGGGGAAUUUUGGACAAUGGGCGCAAGCCUGAUCCAGCAAUGCCGCGUGCAGGAAGAAGGCCUUCGGGCUGUAAACUGCUUUUGUACGGAACGAAACGGUCCUGGUUAAUACCUGGGGCUAAUGACGGUACCGUAAGAAUAAGCACCGGCUAACUACGUGCCAGCAGCCGCAGUAACAC